rnacentral:rRNA from 1 species
UACGUAGGGCGCAAGCGUUGUCCGGAAUUAUUGGGCGUAAAGAGCUCGUAGGUGGCGUGUCGCGUCUGCCGUGAAAGUCCGGGGCUCAACUCCGGAUCUGCGGUGGGUACGGGCAGACUAGAGUGAUGUAGGGGAGACUGGAAUUCCUGGUGUAGCGGUGAAAUGCGCAGAUAUCAGGAGGAACACCGAUGGCGAAGGCAGGUCUCUGGGCAUUAACUGACGCUGAGGAGCGAAAGCAUGGGGAGCGAACAGG